rnacentral:rRNA from 1 species
UACGGAGGGUGCGAGCGUUGUCCGGAAUCACUGGGCGUAAAGGGCGCGUAGGCGGCGCGAGUAGUCAACGGUGAAAGCCCGGGGCUCAACCCCGGGUCGGCCGUCGAUACUCUCGUGCUUGAGCACUGUAUAGGCAGGUGGAAUUCCGGGUGUAGCGGUGGAAUGCGUAGAGAUCCGGAAGAACACCGGUGGCGAAGGCGGCCCGCUGGGCAGUAGCUGACGCUGAGGCGCGACAGCGUGGGGAGCAAACGGG